ACUUCCGUUCAUUGUUCCGUUGGGUUGCAGGUUAUAGUCUGUAUUACCGAUUGUUUUAUUUAACACAAACAUAUACAGUUUAACAUACGUUAACAUAACCCAACAUAAUAUAGCAUAAUAAAACAAAAGUUACAUUUAUAUCAGUUAAAUUUACAAGCGCUAUUUCGAAUGGUAAAUAAAUACGAGAAAUUGGCAAGUCACAUUACUUCCCUUGGCGUCUUUCAAUCCUCGUGACUAUGACGUUAGCCCUGGUUAAUGCUCCAAUAGCACUUCAUACUACUCAUCAAGGAAUAUUAAAGUGUCUGAGAUCAGAGUACCCAAACGUCCUUGUUCUCUGAGCCUUUACAACACUUUGCAAAGUAAAAUAAUGGCAAAAAAGCGUCUAAAACCUACAGAUUACCGCUUUUCAUGUAGUAUUUGCUUUGACCAUUCGAGGGCGCUGCUUGCUUUAGCAGUGUCAACUCCUGUUAGCUUAAUUGUUUCACUGGUACUUACUCGCGGUAGUUUUACAACAGUGAAAACUAGACCAGAGUUAACGCCCGCUGCAAGAGCAUCAUCAUCAUUCGUCAUCGUAUGAUUACGAGCAAUAGUUUUGACGGGAACGAGGGUGCCGCCGCCUAGCAUCCAGAGGAAGAGCGUAUCUCAAUUUCCUUUGAAGACUGUAACUAUAAAAGGGUCAAAAACAAGAAAUGAGCCCAAACAAGUGGAGACCAAGAAAAGUAAAUAGAAAAUUCCGUCAGAUGGGUAACCACAGAAUCACACCACAUCCCCCUAGUCAGGAAGAGGACUGGGAAAAGGAGUUAGAGGAAAUUUCACAGUGCAUUGAAAAGCAUAAACAGCCUACUUAUGAUCCUGGAGAUGAUUUGAAUCCUGAAGUGAGGGAGAUGUCUCAUCAUAACGUCCAGAGUGGCCCAAGUUCAAACCAGGGACACUACAGCCCAGCAAUCCACCACAUUCAACCUGUGAAAUGGGUCCGCUUCAUUUAUGCUGUAGUGGAAGACCAGUUUGCUGAUGCUGAAGAAUAAGACUGUUUAGUUCCUUGUAUAUGUGCUUCCUUACAGAAAAAAUAUUGAAAUUAGUUUAUUAUCUACUAAGCUCAGGUUAAUGUUUUAAGUAAUUUUUGUUGUUUUUAGUGACCUCUCAGGAUUUUAUGUUAAUUUAUAGGUAUAGAUGUUAAACAAAUCAUUGCUGAGCAUUUAUAUUUGCAAAUGUAAUUAAUUAAUUCAUUUAUUUUUGCAAGUUGAAGCCAAUUUGUUUUAAUCUUUUUCUAAGCAAAUUUUUUUUUUUUAAUACUGUUUAUCUAUAAAAUACUUCAUUACAGUGUUCAUCUGCAUUAAAAGAAAAGUGACAGGAAGUAAUUGUGUUCUUGUGCAGACUUAAGGCACAUUAAAGAAUUAUUGGAAGUGAACUGAAAAUAAGCAUUUAUCUGUGCAACGUAUCAUUUCACAGGAGCUUCCACUAGGUGGCAGAAUAGGCUCAGUCUACAGGAAAGCUUUGUCUUUGAAUUGUGCUUUGGUACUUAUCUCUUGAUAGACUCACACAGAUCUGCUGUUCAUUGCUUUAACAUACAGAUCUCAGAUGUCUACAUCUAAAAAUCAUUCUGGGAUAACAUAAAUUAUCAUGGUUAAAUCUUUAACACUAGUACUUCCUGUGCUGCUGUCAAAAAAUAAAAGACAGAAGAAAAUUUAUUUUUU